UGUCAAUGCUCGUAAGAGUGAACUAGCUACUGAAUCACAAACAUGCCAAAAUUGGUAUAGUGGGUGAAUCUAUAAGGGAAAAUAAUGAUUAAACCUUAUCCAUUAGUGCUGUCCAAAUCUGGUGCCAGAAGACUCGGUAAGGCCAGAGGCGCAAACGUUAGUCGUCUUAAUCAGGCGUAAAGGGUACGUAGGCAGCUUAGAACGUCUAUAAAUUUAAAUUAGCACAAUAGUAAAUGGUACUAGUAAAAUUUAGGUAAGUAUAAGCUAGGAUCUUAUUGGGGUUAUAUUAAAUAAUACUUAGGGUGAGGAAUAAAACCUUUAGAUCCUAAGGGGAAUACUAAGGCGAAGGCUAUUUUUCCACUAAAGAUCGACGCUGAGGAACGAAGGUGAGGAUAGGAAAAAGGAUUAGAUACCCAAGUACCCCUCUCUGUCAACGAUGAAUGGUGAUUUCUAGGAUUCCGUGAGAACUAGUUUUUAUGCUAACGCGAUAACCAUUCCGCCUUGUGAGUACGGUUGCAAAACUGAAAACAAAAAAAUUAGUCGGUCUCGAAGCAAACGAAGUGAAGCAUGUUAUUUAAUACGAUAAUCCGCGUAAAACCUUACCAGUUCUUGCAUACAAACUUCUAUCCCUAAAUUAGAACUCGUUUUUAUUUAGGAUCAAUAGGAGGAGUGGUUAAUAAAACAAAUUUAAUAAAAUGAAAAAACUACUUUGCUACAGGUGUUGCAUGGCUGUCGUCAGUCCGUAUCGUGAGAAGUGAGGUUAACUCCGCUAACGGACGAAAUCCCUGUUAUUAAUUUAUACUUAAUAACUAAUGGUUAUGAUAGAUCUCCAUUGGCUAAGAC
rnacentral:rRNA from 1 species